rnacentral:rRNA from 1 species
AUACGGAGGAUCCGAGCGUUAUCCGGAUUUAUUGGGUUUAAAGGGUGCGCAGGCGGGAUGUUAAGUCGGCGGUGAAAUUUUGCAGCUCAACUGUAAAAGUGCCUUCGAUACUGGCUUUCUUGAGUGUGGAUGAAGUAGGCGGAAUUUGUGGUGUAGCGGUGAAAUGCUUAGAUAUCACGAGGAACUCCGAUUGCGCAGGCAGCUUACUAAACCACUACUGACGCUCAUGCACGAAGGCGUGGGGAUCAAACAGGAUUAGAUACCCUGGUAGUCCACGCAGUAAACGAUGAUUACUAGCUGUUUGCGAUACAAUGUAAGCGGCUGAGCGAAAGCGUUAAGUAAUCCACCUGGGGAGUACGUUCGCAAGAAUGAAACUCAAAUGAAUUGACGGGG